rnacentral:tRNA from 1 species
AGCUAGUGUGGCAUAGUGGUUUCAGUGUUGGACUAUGACUCUGGAGAUCAGGGUUCAAAUCCUGGCUUGGCCA